rnacentral:lncRNA from 1 species
CCGAAGUGAAGUAAACUUCAACGGAUUUCCCCUGCUCAGGGAAUAGGGAGCAAUGGACACUGUGUAGGGACCAUGUCAAUCGGAACACAGUUCAUGCACGGAGCUCACUUCUAACGAGAUGAUGAUCUGAAUCAGGUGUGUUAACAAAGAGAGACAUGCAAAACAUGCAGAGCGGGGGUACGCGAGGACUGGAAUUGAGAACCGCUGGUAUAAUACACCCGUCCUCUUGUUCACUCUUUAAAGUGUUUGUAUUUGUAUUUGGUGUUCCUUAAUGAAAAAAGGAUAUGAAUAAUCGAGAAAUGGGAUAAGAAAUACCGACAUUCGUACCGCAUAAUGGGCAGAUUCUGACAGAUUUGUAAUGACAGGCUGUUGAUGUAACACUUGACUGCAAAAUUUUGAAGGGGGAGCAGCAGUGCCGGGCCACUGGAACACACGGGAUCAGUGAUUCACGAAAGAGCUGUCGCACUGGGCCGGAGCUGCGUGAGGGAUUGCACAUGCUGGAGACGGCCACGCUGUGUAUAUCUUUGUGUGCUUUUGCUGCUUCUUUGGCACUUUUGUAUGUGUCUGUGCUUCACAAACCUGAAGAUAAUAGGAAAGUAAA